GAAGUGCUCCUGACAGCCCAUGGAGCAAACGCCGGCCUGCCAUGCAAAUUCCCCUUAGUCCACAAGGCUGGGGGGCACUUAUAUCACCAGCUGAUAACUAUGGGGGACCAAGUGAUUAUUUCCCAAUCUGAAGACAACAUUUACUAUAACCACUAUCAAGAUCUGCAAGGCUGAGCACCUUUGACAAUGAAUAAUUCCACAUCUGGAGAAGCAUCCCAUCAAAUAAAUGUAACAACAGUAUAUAAUAAGCAGAUACUGUCAGCUCACAGUGCAAAGCAGAAGAAGCUUCCUGAUGUUGGAAUAAGUGUCAGCUGACAAGAUGUUUCCUAGAUGAACAGGAAAGGCUGACAUGACUGACUGUGGAUUAAAAUGUGAACCAAAGGAAGGUUUACUUCCUUUAUUCUACAAAUGGCAAAAACUGCCUAACUCACAGAAUGUGCCUAGUUGGUGGCUACCAGAAAUGGCUUUACUAUACUUUGUGUAAAAAGUGUGUCACUUGGACCUCUGAGACACAUACUGGAGAGUCACCGGCAGAGAGUUCUGAGCAGUUCAGGACUUCAGGUUGUUCUCCUUCUGGACAGCAGGACAGUGCUGGAGCUCUCUUAGCUCCUCGGUCUUGUCUUGUGUUGUGUUAAAAAAGUGCAGAGAGGGGAAUAAAAAGAGGAAGUUCACCAGGACAGCAGAAAAAAGGUGCCUCCGUGCCACUGCACUCCAGCCUGGGGGACAGAGUGAGACUCCGUCUCAAACAACAACAACAAAAAAAGGCGCCUCCUUCAAAGAGCCGUGUAUCCCUAGGCAGAAGCCAUCUAGUUGGAGCCAGCAAUGAUUCAUUCCUGGGAUUCACGUCUCCUUCCAAAAUGGAAGGAUAUUCGGAGGCUCGGUAUUGCCAAGUG
rnacentral:lncRNA from 10 species